CCUACGGGUGGCUGCAGUGGGGAAUAUUGGACAAUGGGCGAAAGCCUGAUCCAGCCAUGCCGCGUGUGUGAAGAAGGCCUUCGGGUUGUAAAGCACUUUCAGUGGGGAAGAAAGCCUUGGGGCUAAUACCCUCGAGGAAGGACAUCACCCACAGAAGAAGCACCGGCUAACUCCGUGCCAGCAGCCGCGGUAAUACGGAGGGUGCGAGCGUUAAUCGGAAUUACUGGGCGUAAAGCGCGCGUAGGCGGUCUGAUAAGCCGGUUGUGAAAGCCCCGGGCUCAACCUGGGAACGGCAUCCGGAACUGUCAGGCUAGAGUGCAGGAGAGGAAGGUAGAAUUCCCGGUGUAGCGGUGAAAUGCGUAGAGAUCGGGAGGAAUACCAGUGGCGAAGGCGGCCUUCUGGACUGACACUGACGCUGAGGUGCGAAAGCGUGGGUAGCAAACAGGAUUAGAUACCCCAGUAGUC
rnacentral:rRNA from 1 species